GAUGAACGCUAGCUACAGGCUUAACACAUGCAAGUCGAGGGGAAACGACAUCGAAAGCUUGCUUUUGAUGGGCGUCGACCGGCGCACGGGUGAGUAACGCGUAUCCAACCUGCCCAUCACUUGGGAAUAACCUUGCGAAAGUAAGACUAAUACCCAAUGAUAUCCCACGAAGGCAUCGGAAUGGGAUUAAAGAUUUAUCGGUGAUGGAUGGGGAUGCGUCUGAUUAGCUUGUUGGCGGGGUAACGGCCCACCAAGGCAACGAUCAGUAGGGGUUCUGAGAGGAAGGUCCCCCACAUUGGAACUGAGGCACGGUCCAAACUCCUACGGGAGGCAGCAGUGAGGAAUAUUGGUCAAUGGGCGAGAGCCUGAACCAGCCAAGUAGCGUGCAGGAAGACGGCCCUAUGGGUUGUAAACUGCUUUUAUAAGGGAAUAAAGUGGGUCACGUGUGACUUUUUGCAUGUACCUUAUGAAUAAGGACCGGCUAAUUCCGUG
rnacentral:rRNA from 1 species